ACGUAGGUUCUUGGUUAGGCCUUAAACCUUCAUGCGACUUGCUUUUAGGUCAAUUGCUCCAGAGCCAUCGGUCCAAGAGGAACAGCUCUGCUUCGAAGGGGACGGACUAUUUUGUCUUUUUCGUUAACUGUGCGACAAAGCUUUACAAAAACAAUGAAGACCUACGCUGUCCUUGUACUGCUAGUGUGCAUGGCCUACUGCGCCUCUGCCUACAACGACCACGCGGGAGAGGAUAAGGACCUGACUCUUCGGGAGCUCCUGCACAAAGUCCUGACCGAGUUCGAAUCCCAGGAUCUAAAACGUGGGGAGCACUGUGGCGGGAAUCGGUACUGCUCAGCCGGUUUAAUCUGCAACUGGCAGCCGGAUGGUAGUUCGUUUUGUGCAUGAUACGGAAAAGGACGGUAGACACAUCACCACAAAACCCCUCCAACUGGAAAUAAAUGGCGAGAGGCCAAGAGACAAGUUCAAAAACUAAUAAAACUAUUCCUAUUCAGCAUAGCGAGUGGGUUAUCCCACAUUGGGCUCCAUAUCAUGUUGGCAGCUUCUUGCGUAUUUUAUUUGUAGGUAGUUGGUCUUUAAUUCGCUGGCGUUUUUUGCUUUCACAGAGACAUACCUGCUCUAAAUUUAUGGCUUAGGGCGAGUACGCUUGCGUGCAUCUUCCCUACACACGUUGAAGACAAGGGCCAAAUUGUAGGACAACGUGAGUUUUCCUUUUUCCCGAAAGACGAGCAUCUCUGCCAAUUAACUUUGGCUAACUGACAACCAUGUUUCUUUUAAUUACUGGUUGAUGUAAACGUUUGCCUUUCAAGGAGUCAUUCGAAGGUUUCCGUACUGUAUAAAGUUGUUCCUGAGUAGGAUGGUAACCCUGCAGUGUUGACGACCGAAUUGGCAUCGGAACAUUAAGUUGAAGUGAAAAAUAUGUUAAAUUGAUGUUUCUUUAGUUUGGAAUUUCAGGCUAUUCAUGGCGAACGACAGCAAUAGGUGGAAAGGCUUCUGGUAGCACCAUCCGAAGGAAUAUAUCUCUUACGAAUUUGUGUGGUUCUGGAGAAGUAUAGACGUUGCGUAUACUCCCGGUUCUCUUUAGAACCAUACAUACUCAUAAGAGAUAUAUUCCUUCGCAUGGUGCUACCGCAAGCCUUUCAAACUAUUACCGACUUCUUUAGUUUAGUAAUGAUGCAUAUAGGUAGAUAAGGCUGGAUAUUUUUUGGAAGUGCGAUUUUUUUAAAUGUUUGAAAUGCUAAACACAUUGCCAUGAUAGCUUCCGCUGAAAUCAACCUCUAAAUGGCACAAAGGCCUAAUGGCUCAAGCACAAAUGACCGAUUGUACCCGCUAAGUCACCUCCACUAUUUGCGCUAAACAACACUUAUGAAAAAGAAGGACGCCAUGUUGUUGAUGCUUGAUACCCACUGUAGGUCGCGUGACUACAGGUCACGUCACGUCACGUCACGUCACGUGAAUACAAUAGACCAACUGCGAUAGGUGUUAUUUACUUGCUUGGUGAAUAUUUAGUUUGCUCUGAAAAUCGUUCCCUCUUUAUGGCUUUUUUAUGGUAAAACGAUGAAGAAGCUUUGUUGGUGUAUAUUUGCCAGUCAAGUCUCCUCUUGCAGUCAAACUAGUCAAGUUUAAGGUACGCACGAGUCAUUUCUGAACUUUGCAUAUUUUCGUUUAAGUAUUAUUGAAGGGUACUUUGACAAUGCACACUAUUCCACCGUCAUUUGAUUUAGUGCGCCUCCAAGAGUUGGCAAUGCGUUUGGAAAGGGUCGACAGAUUUCGCGCGUUGUGAUUGGCUAACGUGUUUCAAACUCCUGGCGGCGCACUACUGCGAAUAGCCCGUAUUAUCGGAAAUGUUUUUGGUGAUGGUAUAUACAUUAAAGUAAUGUCGAAAUCAAAGCAAAACGAAGUCUGUGUCUUUGCCUUAUUGUGUGUUGUAAAAUGUAUGAUGGUACAGGACACAGAUGACACCAAGCUUUUCCCAAAUUAUACAAAUGGAAAUCUGUCAGUCUGGAUGGUGCAAAAAUCGACAAGAAGGCAUGCCAAACCAUUCCUCUCCAAACGAUGUUCAGAGGUUUAAAUAGCACCGACAGGUCGGAGUGGAAUAACACCAUCCACCUCGUCUUUAUUGGCCAAGAUUACAAAAUGUCUUUGACGAAAUUUAAACAAAAAAUCUUAAAUUGUGGAGAAGUUGAUAGAGGAAGGCGGUGCCUAACUGUUUGUACAUGCAUUAAGAUGGAAUGAAGUGCCG